UACGUAGGGUGCGAGCGUUGUCCGGAAUUAUUGGGCGUAAAGCGCGCGUAGGCGGCUUCUUAAGUCCGGGGUGAAAGGUCCAGCGCUCAACGCGGACAGUGCCUCGGAUACUGGGGGGCUUGAAUGUGGCAGAGGAUAGUGGAAUGGCUGGUGUAGCGGUGAAAUGCGUAGAUAUCAGUCGGAACACCCAUGGCGAAGGCAGCUAUCUGGGCUAACAUUGACGCUGAGGUGCGAAAGCGUGGGGAGCGAACGGG
rnacentral:rRNA from 1 species